rnacentral:lncRNA from 1 species
UACUUUAUGCAAGGCCUUGAUGCUUUGCAUUUCUCUGGUUUGUAUUUUUAGGUUCAAUCUUUCUUUACUGCCUUGAAAGCAUUAUCGUGUAAAGAUAUCCAUUAUGGAGCUUAUGCAACAUCUGAACAGGUGAUCUAGUUACCCCAACUCUGCUCAUUGAUUUCAUGUGCUGAUUUUGUCUUUGCGUUGUUUAAGAAGGUUUAAAAAAAAAUUUCAUUUUUAAUCAGACCUGAAAAUGGUAUCUGCAAUACCUGUUAUCCUUGCCAAUGAGCUCUUGGCAGUCCCAGUGGUUUCAUUUUGUUGUUGCACCUGCAGCAUGGUCUCAUUGCUGCAUUUUGGUCAAUUUAUUGCAACCAUUGCUUUAGGCCCCAUGUCAUGUGCUCAAUUUAGUGCCAUGUUCAUUCGUUGCUUUAAUGGUUUAUGCCUGAACUAGUGUUUUGAGUUUUUUAAAGGCAACUUUUUCAAUAUAUUCAUGUAAUCUAAUGCAGGUUAAUGCAGCAGGGGAUUUGUGUGCCAUUUGCCAGGAAAAUAUGCACGCACCAAUCUUAUUAUGCUGUAAACACAUAUUUUGUGAGGAUUGUGUGUCUGAAUGGUUAGUUUUCUGACUCUAAAUUUGUUAAGAAUUUCUAUUUCCUGCCAUGAUGACAGUAAGCAACAGAAUGGGUGGUUAAACGCGAUCUAAAAUUUGAAUAGCAGUUGACAGCUUAACAUCUUACCAAGGGAAUAUGGAUAAUUCUUUAUGCUUGUGAGACUGAGAAGGAAGAUGAGGAUAUGAUGUAUUACUUACUGGUUGCUGUAGACUUGGAGGCCCUUCAUGUUAUAGUUGUUGAAAAAUUAGAUCAGUGAAGUUCAUUAAUAUUUGGCUGAAGGCAGAGAAUGAGGAUUUGGAGAAGUGGAAAAACCUGAUACCCAUUUUAAAUAUUAUACUGUAUUUGAUUGUUCAAGACUUAAAAGUUUGUCACACUUAAUAUUAAUUGUAGUUUUCCUUUGAAGCUUAAAUGUAUGCAGGGGAAACAUAUAGGUGAAUUUACGAAGUCCUGAACCAGAAGUCAUUAGAAGUUUGAUGUGCUUAGGCCAAUAGAUAUUAAGAAUUGAAACAUCAUUAAAAUUUUCUGGUCUCAACUCAUGCUGGAUGAUGUACAUGAUUGAAAUCUAUUGCUGGUGUGGUAGCCCAUCGGAAUGUCAAAUGGAGGUUGUGUGCCUUUCUAUUGUUCAUAAAAACAUUUUUGAGGCUUACGCUUGAAGUCCUGUCUCAUCUAAAACUUCCAUUGAAUGCCUCAUGCCUUAAGUGCCAUUUGAGGCCUAUGCUUGCUUUAAAAAAAAAAAAAAAAGUAACCUUUUUACGUAAGAGUAGGAGAAAAGUUAUCCAAAGAUGUUUGUGGACAAAUGUUAGUUUACAUUUUUAUUUUUUUUAAGAGUACUUAUAAAAAGAAACUUUCUUACUUAAAAAGCAAGUUCCAAACAUUACUGUAGACAAAGAAGUUAUUAAAUGUAACAUCUUAUUUUUAAGCUCAUCUUAGAAAAACAUUAAUUUUUAACUUAAAAUAAAGAAAAGUGAGUUAUCCAGGCAAGUUUUCAAGAAAACAUGUUUGUAAAUAGUUACUUAUUAAGUAACUUUACUUUUUUUAAGCUUAGCUAAAAAUAUUGUUAUAAAUUUUUAUUUUUAAAUACUUCUACACUUUUCCAAUAUGGCGUUUCACCAUUAAACACAGAACUUUCAUCCUACACCUAACCACCCUAAUCCUGUAUGGUGUACCAUACGCACCCUUAAUGCUGCUUUCCUAGAGCAAGGUUCAAGAGAGAAUUAAUAUGCAUGUACCUUAAUGUUACAAUCCAAAUAUAAGGCUAAAUAGAUUUGCACAGUAAGGUAAGUAGUUGAUAAACUGCUAAAAGCUAAAGCGAAUGCUAUAUCAAUUCCCACAUUCUUGAUAUCAGCUCUAUUUUCCCUCCACUUUUGUCAUAUUGCUAUCUAGUUGGCUUGUCUAUGUUUCAAAGUAAUUUUGUUACAUAUAUGGCUUGCUUAUUUUUCAUUUUUCAAAUUUGAUGUUAGGAUUUUGGGUUGUAUCCUGUGCUGAAAUAUCCAAAAUAUGCACUUCCUCUUUGGUAUUUUUUCAGUUUCUAAAGAAAAAAGUAAAGAAAUUAAUCCUCUCCUUCUACGAGUUUUAGAGCUUGUUUGGCAUGGCUUUUGAAAAUCAAAAAGUCGUUUCUGAGACUAAGUAGUAGUUUUGAGUCUUGUUAAGUGAAAAUGCUUUGUCUUACUAGAAAAGCUUUAACAAAUGCUUUUCUAGAAAAAGCAAAACAGCAAAAACUUCUCCGAACAGGCCGUUACUAUUCAUUUCCACAUUGAGUACCUGACUAUAUUCUGCUUUCAGGUUUGAGAGAGAACGUACAUGUCCUUUGUGCCGAGCUUUGGUGAAACCUGUGGAUCUCAGAUCAUUUGGUGACGGAUCUACAAGUCUAUUUUUUCAGUUAUUCUAAACUGCCAGUGAGUAUAACUGGGAAGUUUUCUGCUUUGAAGCCUAAAUUGUCAUCCAGAGCAGCUGUCUCCUGAUCAUCUUGUUAUAUGGAAAAUUUAACUGUAACUAUUAAAAGUUGCUGGUGAUGUUGAAACUUAGUCUGGGGUCGGCUUUGUCUGUUGUUGGGUUGUAAUGAGAAAUGUAUGUAAUGGGUUCCUAAAGCGACAGGAGUUAUAUUUUUAUGAUAUAUACACAAAUACAACAGUUAGAGCCAUAUAUGAGAGCUUUUCAAGUCAGAACUCUGAUUGCCAUAUCUGCAUGUGUGAGAUGGUC